rnacentral:rRNA from 1 species
GAUGAACGCUAGCGGCAGGCCUAAUACAUGCAAGACUAGGGGGCAGCAAUGUCACCGUCGCACGGGUGCGUAACGCGUAUGCAACCUACCUAUCACAGGGGGAUAGCCUUUGGAAACAGGGAUUAAUACCGCAUAAAGCAGGGGCUCCGCAUGGAGAUAUUGCUAAAGAUUUAUCGGUGAUAGAUGGGCAUGCGUCUGAUUAGUUAGAUGGUGGGGUAACGGCCUACCAUGGCGAUGAUCAGUAGGGGGCGUCAGAGCGUGGUCCCCCACACUGGCACUGAGAUACGGGCCAGACUCCUACGGGAGGCAGCAGUAGGGAAUAUUGGACAAUGGGCGAAAGCCUGAUCCAGCAAUGCCGCGUGAGUGACGAAGGCCUUAGGGUUGUAAAGCUCUUUUACCCGAGAUGAAGGUACCAAAUGAAUAAGCACCGGCUAACNCCGUG